AAGAUAUGACAUAAAUGUGUAGCGUAAAGGAAGGUGAGCUGAGUUAGCAUAUCUAUUAAACUAAUAGUCUGGCUUGGAAAGAAUCAUUUGCAGCACAGGUAAUGAAGACACUACAAUAUGUAGCCUUUUCAAAAAAACUUCAUUGUCUUUGGCUGCUACUUGAAGACUCAUCACUGUACAAAGCACUUGGGAUUUACACUGGCCCACUAGCCCAAUGACUCUAGAGGUUGACAAGGAAACUGAAGUUCCUUCUGUGAAAUGGCUUAGUUCAGGUUCUGUUCCAAAACCCCAAUACUUCUGUGGUAUUUCAGUAUUUACAUAGGACUAGAAUGUUUUUAGUUUCCUAGUGCUUUUUUCUCUUUCUUUCUUUCCUUUUUUUUUUUUUUUUUUUGAGACGGGAGUUUCGCUCUGUCACCCAGGCUGGAGUGCAGUGACACAAUAUUUGCUCACUGCAACUUCUACCUCCUGGGUUCAAGCGAUUCUCCUGCCUCAGCCUCCCGAGUAGCUGGGAUUACAGGCACUGCCACCACGCCCAGCUACUUUUUUUGUAUCUUUAGUAGAGAUAGCGUUUCACCAUGUUGGCCAGGCUGGUCUUGAACUCCUGACCUCAGACGAUCCACCUGCCUCAGCCUCCUAAAGUGCUGGGAUUACAGGCGUGAGCCACCACGACAAGCCUAGUGCUUUUUUCUUGAUCUAUGCUUUCUAUUUAUCCAUUUCAAUAAAUAAUGGAGGAUUGACCCUAAGGUUACUACAAUGGAUUAUUAUCCCUAUUACUACUACUAUCACCUUAUAUUUAAAACAUUAUCUGAUUAAAAACGGAAACAAAUAGAAAAGACAUAGGAUCCUUCAGUUGCCAGUGACAGAAUCUAUGUGUGAGUUAUCAUCAACUGUCUUUGAGGUAUCAGUACUACCUCCAAUUAAGCAUAGACAAUGGUUUCCAGGGGAAUAUAUAAAGUCAUGAGCAGAGUUUGAAGAAAUGCUCCAAAGUCCCAAACGCUGUCCUUUCUUGUGGGCAAGGAAGUGGGGCCCCAGGGAGGCCUCAAAAGUUUUCUAGGGACUUAAAGUCAAAACAGUGUUCCUCUGAGUACCGGUCAACAAUGCUUUGAAAGCGGAUCUCAAACACACACUCAUUAGAAUGCAGCAGGAAGUGGUUUUAUUGCUGUGAACACAGGGCAAUAAAGCUUGGCAAAAG
rnacentral:lncRNA from 10 species